AUACGGAGGGUGCAAGCGUUAAUCGGAAUUACUGGGCGUAAAGCGUACGUAGGCGGUUCGUUAAGUUAGAUGUGAAAGCCCCGGGCUUAACCUGGGAACUGCAUUUAAAACUGGCGGACUAGAGUAUGGUAGAGGGAAGUGGAAUUCCAGGUGUAGCGGUGAAAUGCGUAGAUAUCCGGAGGAACACCAGUGGCGAAGGCGGCUUCCUGGACUAAUACUGACACUGAGGUACGAAAGCGUGGGGAGCAAACAGGAUUAGAUACCCCAGUAGUCC
rnacentral:rRNA from 1 species